UACGGAGGGAGCUAGCGUUGUUCGGAAUUACUGGGCGUAAAGCGCACGUAGGCGGCUUUGUAAGUUAGAGGUGAAAGCCCGGAGCUCAACUCCGGAACUGCCUUUAAGACUGCAUCGCUUGAAUCCAGGAGAGGUGAGUGGAAUUCCGAGUGUAGAGGUGAAAUUCGUAGAUAUUCGGAAGAACACCAGUGGCGAAGGCGGCUCACUGGACUGGUAUUGACGCUGAGGGGCGAAAGCGUGGGGAGCAAACAGG
rnacentral:rRNA from 1 species